rnacentral:misc_RNA from 1 species
UCCCCGUUUGAGCGAGGCAGUCUGUCCAGAGUGCUCCAGCCUCUCAGCCGGGUGGCAACUGGACACAAGGGUUGCGCUCGUUGCGGGACUUAACCCAACAUCUCACGACACGAGCUGACGACAGCCAUGCAGCACCUGUGUAUCCUGGUAUUGCUACCUCGUCAGGCUUUCACCCUUCUACUAGAUACAUGUCAAGGCCAGGUAAGGUUCUUCGCGUUGCAUCGAAUUGAGCCACAUACUCCACCGCUUGUGCAGGCCCCCGUCAAUUUCUUUGAGUUUUAAUCUUGCGACCGUACUUCCCAGGCGGCACAUUUAACGCGUUAGCUUCGCCACAAGCGGGGUCGAAUCCGCUCACAGCAAAUGUGCACCGUUUACGGCUAGGACUAC